rnacentral:rRNA from 1 species
CUGAGUACGGCGGAACACGUGAAAUUCCGUCGGAAUCCGGGAGGACCAUCUCCCAAGGCUAAAUACUCCCUAGUGACCGAUAGUGAACCAGUACCGUGAGGGAAAGGUGAAAAGCACCCCGGAAGGGGAGUGAAACAGUUCCUGAAACCGUGUGCCUACAAGUAGUUAGAGCCCGUUAAUGGGUGAUAGCGUGCCUUUUGUAGAAUGAACCGGCGAGUUACGAUUUGUUGCAAGGUUAAGCGGAAAAAGCGGAGCCGUAGCGAAAGCGAGUCUGAAUAGGGCGCAUAAGUAACAGGUCGUAGACCCGAAACCAGGUGAUCUACCCAUGUCCAGGAUGAAGGUAAGGUAAUACUUACUGGAGGUCCGAACCCACGCACGUUGAAAAGUGCGGGGAUGAGGUGUGGGUAGCGGAGAAAUUCCAAUCGAACUUGGAGAUAGCUGGUUCUCUCCGAAAUAGCUUUAGGGCUAGCCUCGAGGUAAAGAGUCAUGGAGGUAGAGCACUGUUUGGACUAGGGGCCCUUCUCGGGUUACCGAAUUCAGAUAAACUCCGAAUGCCAUGUACUUAUACUCGGGAGUCAGACUGCGAGUGAUAAGAUCCGUAGUCGAAAGGGAAACAGCCCAGACCACCAGUUAAGGUCCCCAAAUAUAUGUUAAGUGGAAAAGGAUGUGGGGUUGCUUAGACAACCAGGAUGUUGGCUUAGAAGCAGCCACCAUUGAAAGAGUGCGUAAUAGCUCACUGGUCGAGUGACCCCGCGCCGAAAAUGUACCGGGGCUAAACAUAUUACCGAAACUGUGGAUGAACCUCUUUAGAGGUUCGUGGUAGGAGAGCGUUCUAAGGGCGGUGAAGUCAGACCGGAAGGACUGGUGGAGCGCUUAGAAGUGAGAAUGCCGGUAUGAGUAGCGAAAGAAGGGUGAGAAUCCCUUCCACCGAAUAUCUAAGGUUUCCUGAGGAAGGCUCGUCCGCUCAGGGUUAGUCGGGACCUAAGCCGAGGCCGAUAGGCGUAGGCGAUGGACAACAGGUAGAGAUUCCUGUACCAGUGCUAAUUGUUUAACCGAUGGGGUGACACAGAAGGAUAGGGAAUCGCACGAAUGGAAAUGUGCGUCCAAGCAGUGAGUGUGAGAAGUAGGCAAAUCCGCUUCUCGCGAAGCAUGAGCUGUGAUGGGGAAGGAAAUUAAGUACGGAAGUUCCUGAUUUCACGCUGUCAAGAAAAGCCUCUAGGAAGAGUAGUACUGCCCGUACCGCAAACCGACACAGGUAGAUGAGGAGAGAAUCCUAAGGUGAGCGAGAGAACUCUCGUUAAGGAACUCGGCAAAAUGACCCCGUAACUUCGGGAGAAGGGGUGCUCUAUUAGGGUGCAAGCCCGAGAGAGCCGCAGUGAAUAGGCCCAGGCGACUGUUUAGCAAAAACACAGGUCUCUGCAAAACCGUAAGGUGACGUAUAGGGGCUGACGCCUGCCCGGUGCUGGAAGGUUAAGAGG